rnacentral:lncRNA from 1 species
AUAAUAUUAAGAACAACAUUUAUUAAAAAUUAUAUUUAUUAAAAAACUUUUUUUACAUACAAUUAAGUAGAAGAAUUUUAUUUUUAUUUUUAGGAAAUACUUUCAUACUAAAUAAUUUAUCUUAUUAAGAUGUGUUCUAUUGGGUUAAUGACAUCAGAUGCUUGCGAAGGCCAACAAUAUGUUAUUGAAACUUUAAGCAAUGAAGAAAAAAUAAUUAUAUGUUUACGCUGUAAUAUUGAAUUAUCAAACUUAGAAAUAUUAUAAUACAAAAUAUUUGAAAAUGUAUCCUAUAUGGCAGAAAGCUUGUUGUGAUCCAUUCAAUAGACAUACAAAGAAAAUCACAAAAAAUCUUGGCGUAGUUACAAUAAAAGAGUCACAAGUCAUGAUGAGAAAUUGUUUGAAUAUUCCUCCUGGGAAGAAACUUUGCAAACCUUGUAAACAAAAGAUUGCCAGAAAAAAAGAACUUACAGAAGAGGAGCAAAGUAAGAGUGAACAAGAUGAGGAUUUUCUAAUAUCAUCAUGCAAAAAAAUAUGACAGGAGAUCAAUAAAGAACUCAAAAAUUUUAGUUUAUCUCCUCUAAAAUCUCAUUCAAAAUCAUUAAAACAUGUACUGUCAGAAGGAAAGCAAAAAGUUGCAUGCAUCAACGAAAUGGCGUAUAACGCUACUAGAAAAAUUGAAACUCAAUUUUCCUCAAAACUAUGUUAUGAAACCAAUGGGAUGAAAAAGAAGGCUGCAAACUUUGAUGUAAUUAUGAGCUUGGUAAAAGAAAAAAUUCUAUGUUCUGACAAACGAACUAUUGUUCAACUUCUAACACUGGCACCCCCAAGUUGAUCAAUAUUAGAAGUACAAAAUAACUUUUCGGUUACAGAAUACCAGGCCAAGAUGGCUAGAAAAAUUUUUAAUAAAAAAGGAUUGUUAGGUAUCUCUCCAUUGUAUAAGGGUAAAGUC